rnacentral:snoRNA from 1 species
CACCUCUCAGUCGCACCUGAAGAGUUUCCAGUACUCUACCAGUCUUGAUUAUGGGAGGGAGAGUCAAGCAGAGGCCUAACCAUUCCAUUCCUAGCUUGGGCAGUGGCUAGCGAAUGGAAGGCAAUCUGCCACAAGU